rnacentral:rRNA from 1 species
GACGAACGCUGGCGGCGUGCUUAACACAUGCAAGUCGAACGGAAAGGCCUGCUUUCCCUUGUGGAUUGCGGGUACUCGAGUGGCGAACGGGUGAGUAACACGUGAGUGAUCUGCCCCCAACUUGGGUAUAAGCCUGGGAAACUGGGUCUAAUUCCCGAUAGGACUGCAGGGUGGUGCCUGUGGUGGAAAACGAUUUUCUAGUGGUUGGGGAUGAGCUCGCGGCCUAUCAGCUUGUUGGUGGGGUAAUGGCCUACCAAGGCGGCGACGGGUAGCCGGCCUGGGAGGGUGGACGGCCACAUUAGGACUGAGAUACGGCCCAGACUCCUACGGGAGGCAGCAGUGGGGAAUAUUGCACAAUGGGCGGAAGCCUGAUGCAGCGACGCCGCGUGGGGGAUGACGGCCUUCGGGUUGUAAACUCCUUUCGACCGCGAGGAAGCCACCUGGUUGGAAGGGUGGUGACGGUAGUGGUAGAAGAAGCACCGGCUAACUACGUG